GUCACAUCGUAGGGCCAUUGUUUUCCAUGAUAUUGAGCAGCAUGUUGGAAACAUUUAGCCUAUAUAUUAUAACAUAUGAAUGAUUGGUUAAACUGUGGAGGUAAGCUUAGUCAAUUCACAUGCGCGGUUUACAGCAAUGAGUCCAUAUAUAAGCUGUAUAAUAAUCAGCUUUGGAGAUUUAAAUGAUUACCAAUCUGCUAAUUUUUUUUAGAUCACUUGUGAACUGAUAAUUCUGUGUGUCUCCCACAUCCUAACAGGUCACCACUUUUCUACAGCAACUCUCCAGUCACAUUCACAGCCACCAGACACCAGGUAUCAGACCACCGAACUUCUGGUUAGUAAAACAACCUCAACCUGCUGAGCCACAUCCACACCUGAUUUGUGAAACCAGAGAGGACAAGCAGUUCUGUCGAGGAAGUCUAUGAUGUAAUCUGCAUUACUGGGAAACAGGAAAUACCUGACAUUGGUGUCUUUUGGAAGUUAAAGAGUCUUUUCAGGUCGUCAAAAUUUUCCCAUUUUUUGGUGGAUCCGACCAUUCCCUCAAAUUUGAAUUUCAUUCCACUUAAUUAAGACAAGGGAAAAGGGAAAGAGAAAAAAAAUCGUGAGUAUAUUGGAAUUUUUUUUUGUUGAAAAUCUUUAUCAACAGUUGACCCACAGUUGUUUGGUUGCCUUUAGCAUUUCCUUCGCUUUGGCCUGCCGGAAGCGGACUUCAGCUGGUAGCUCAGACACAUUUUCAAAACUGCUUGUGUGGAGAAGUCCUUCAGCGAGAGGCUUCCACCUGAAAAAAGCAAAGGAAUAAAAUUACUUAAAAGUCGAUUGUCUCAAAGCGGACAUGCCUGGAUCUUUAGGUACAGGACGUACAAUGCUGCACACUUACUGGUACAAGCUCUUUUGAAGUGUCAGCUCCUUUUUACGAUGUUCAAUCAACACGACAUAGUCUUCCUCAAAAUACUUAACGGCUGGGAAGUGAAAAGAACGUUACGGCAGUCAAAUUUCAUCUGUCCAAAAAAUGUGAAGAUCUAAUAUCCCCCAAAAAUAUAUAGUGUUUAAUAAAAAAGAUCUAUAAAAUGAAUAAUAAUACAAUAUCAGACCUCUCCCUCCUCUCAGCUCCACAUACUCUUCCCUGGAAAUCCAUCUGUGACAGGGGAAGAGAUUUGCCUCGCCCUCUGGAGUCGUCACUUCUAUGGUGGAGCAGUACCACUCUUCUUCCUCGAAAUUGAGAAAGGGAUCCUUCUCCACUUUGACCAGCAGGAGUUUCCCCAGAGAUGAACUGGUUUUCACCGUGUAGGUCCCGGUCUGGAAGUAAGAGUUAAUGUAAAUAUAAACAGUGAAGUAAGUGCGACAUCGGUUGAAAAGGGUUUGGUUUGAUGUUAUCAGUCUCAAAAGCAUUUCCAAGUACACAGAGAUAGGCAAACAUGGCAGCUGACUAGUGAAAGUGGGAGAAACACCACACCUUGAAUUAACCUAAGAAAUAAAACAAGUGGUUGGAAUUUUCUGAAACACUGCCCAUAAAUGUGAUUUACAAAUAAUAAAUCGAUUUGCUCUGGCAGAAAUCUGCUCAUCUUAACUGAAAAAUUUACGUUGAUCAAACUUUGAUUAGGUAGAAAAUAUGUAAAAUAAAAUAUAGAAUGAUUAAAAUAAACAUAAAAAUCUGAACCAGGGAGAAAGCGUACCAGUAGAAAUGGGCCUUUAUGAGAGAUUUCAAAGAGUAUAAGGAGUUUGUUGGACUGACCACCUCAAGGAUAUUGAUCCAGAGAGUGGGAGCCCUGACAGGAAAGGCCUGGUCACCUUGUGGAUGUACUAUCCUUUAAUUUGAUAAUACAUUUUAGAGUGUCGUGCAGGUCGAUUUAACUUACUUUCCCAGCAUAGAAGUCUAUACCCCAGUUGUCCAGUUCAGUUUUCUCACUCUUUCCGUCACUUCCAAUUAGAGUGACAUAAACAUGAUCCCAUGUUCCUGCACUUGGCAAGUAACCUGUUGACACCUGAAGCUUGUACUCAGCCAUGGUCACUCAGUGGAUCCGUUCCUGAAAAAAGAGCAAAAUAACAGGUCCAGAUUUUUCCUCUCCGUGCUCUGUUUUCUUGAUCUCUGCCUCUUCUCCUCACAACCCUCCACCCUCUACUUAAGACCUUUACAAGACCACACCUCUUUUGGUCAUUAAAAAAAGUUCAGUCAGACAACACGCGAUCGAACAUUUAUUGCAACAGAACAGGUUUAGUGUUUGGCAUCUAGGCUCCAACUUGAUCACUCACCCAUAUGAUUGCACAGGAAGGAUGGGAGUGAUGAGCAAAUACUUGUAAUCCUCUUGUAGCCUACAGGUGGAUGCUGGGGUGGUGGAGGGGCUGAAGCAAUUGGUAGCAAUACUGCAGCAGCAGUGUGAGCAAAGGGAUGAUGGGAAAUUUCUCUCUCCUUAAAUAGACCACCCGAUAAGGUGGGUCUGUAUUAUAGAUGGUUGUGGAGAGUGAGGUGUGUCACAUGAUUGGAGCAGCGCAGCUUGAGUUGGCAGCCUGACCUAGCUGGCUGGUGUUUUUUUUGUCAGCUUGAAGUCCUUUACACCAGGAUAUGACACUUAUUUGCUCAGUUUGACUACUUCUUCUGGACGCCGAAUUCCACCUUGCUAUUGCACAAACCUCCUCCGACCACCGAGGGGCACUCAAGCAUGGAGACAAUUAUGGAGACCAUCCCGAAUGUUGGAGAGACUGUUAUCAUGUCAGUGUUAAUAAAUCAACUUUCAGGCAAAUAAAGUGAUGUUAUUCCUUUGGGUCAAUAUCCUGAGAAAAGAUUUGACGAGCCUGAGCUUACACAGGUGAUUCUGGAGUUUCAAGCAGAGUUGUCAUACCUCGGUGGAGAAAUCGUGAAGAGAAACUCGCAGCUUGAACUGCCCAACGACUACCUGCUCCCUUCUCGCAUUGAGAACAGCGUGUCUAUUUGAGGAAGUCAGAGAGAUCAAUUCUGUGUCAUUCAACAACUGUAUUUCAUCCUGAGAGGUUUUUUGUUGUGGAUAGGUGUUGCAUGAUGUGAUUAAAUAUUGUUGUUAUGUGGGCCAGUGGUGGGGUAGUUCAGCAACUACAAACAUUUCUCUGACCUUAUUAAACAAAAAGGCGAUAUAUAAAUUUACUUUUUAGUCUUUACUAACAUUGAGUUUUAGCUUUUUAAAUUCCUGUAAUGGACAUGAUGGCAGAGAUGAAUUAGCUGCAAGAAAACACACUGAUGUUGUGUUUUGGGGAAUUACAUAAAUUAUUUGCUGCAACAAAUAAGAUAAAGAUGUACUGUUGGAAUGAAAUUUCUGUGGGAGUAAUAACCACACAUAGAAUGAGAGGACUCACAGGUUGUUGGAUGCGCCGUGGAUA